rnacentral:tRNA from 1 species
GGAAGCGUGGAUGAGUGGUUUAAAUCAACAGUUUACUAAACUGUCGACCGUUAAUUCGGUCCGUGAGUUCGAAUCUCACCGCUUCCG